rnacentral:rRNA from 1 species
GAUGAACGCUGGCGGCGUGCCUAAUACAUGCAAGUCGAGCGAAUGGAUUAAGAGCUUGCUCUUAUGAAGCUAGCGGCGGACGGGUGAGUAACACGUGGGUAACCUGCCCAUAAGACUGGGAUAACUUCGGGAAACCGGGGCUAAUACCGGAUACCAUUUUGAACCGCAUGGUUCGAAAUUGAAAGGCGGCUUCGGCUGUCACUUAUGGAUGGACCCGCGUCGCAUUAGCUAGUUGGUGAGGUAACGGCUCACCAAGGCAACGAUGCGUAGCCGACCUGAGAGGGUGAUCGGCCACACUGGGACUGAGACACGGCCCAGACUCCUACGGGAGGCAGCAGUAGGGAAUCUUCCGCAAUGGACGAAAGUCUGACGGAGCAACGCCGCGCGAGUGAUGAAGGCUUUCGGGUCGUAAAACUCUGUUGUUAGGGAAGAACAAGUGCUAGUUGAAUAAGCUGGCACCUUGACGGUACCUAACCAGAAAGCCACGGCUAACUACGUGCCAGCAGCCGCGGUAA